CCCCUGUUGUAUAUAUUUAAUCUGAGAACUUACAAUUUGUGUGUAUAUGUGUGUGUGUGAAAUAUAGUGAGUUAAAAACUCAACCUUCAAGUCCAGGCAACUGUGGGGUUGUGUUCAGAAAAGAUUGAAGGGAGUAGGGAGAGAGACAGCUCAAUACAUUUUAUGCUAUUUUGUUCUUUCAGGAGGAGUGAAGGAUUUUGAAAGAAAUCCACCUCCAUAUGUUCCUUCUCUUGAAUUGCUCCUAGGAAGACCCCAGCACCAAAAGCAGGCAUUGAAAAGCAAACAAACGAAAAGGGCAAGCAAAGUGAUCCACAUGAAGAAAGUUUGCAACCUUCAGGACUUCUUAGUUUCAAGAAAAGGUGACAUGGUAGAAGUUUAGAAAAGUAU